AGUGAACGCUGGCGGUAGGCCUAACACAUGCAAGUCGAACGGCAGCACAGUAAGAGCUUGCUCUUACGGGUGGCGAGUGGCGGACGGGUGAGGAAUACAUCGGAAUCUACUUUUUCGUGGGGGAUAACGUAGGGAAACUUACGCUAAUACCGUAUACGACCUACGGGUGAAAGCAGGGGAUCUUCGGACCUUGCGCGAUUGAAUGAGCCGAUGUCGGAUUAGCUAGUUGGCGGGGUAAAGGCCCACCAAGGCGACGAUCUGUAGCUGGUCUGCGAGGAUGAACAGCACCACUGGGAAUGGAACAACGGCCAAGAUCCCAAGGGGGGGAGCAGUGGGGAAAUUUGGACAAUGGGGGAAAGCCCUGGCCAGCCAUGCCCGGUGGGGUAAGAAGGCCUUCGGGGUUUAAAAGCCUUUUUUUUGGGAAAAAAAACCAGGAGGUAAAACCCCCGUUGUUUGAAGGGACCCCAAAAAAAAGGACCGGGUAACUUUGUU
rnacentral:rRNA from 1 species